rnacentral:rRNA from 1 species
UGAACGGACUGGCGGCGUGCCUAAUACAUAGCAAGUCGAGCGAACCGACUUACGGUUCGGGGAAGGCGGGCGAACGGGUGGAGUAACGACGUAGGUGAUCUGCCCAUCAGACGGGACACGAUUGAACGAUCGCUAAUACCGGAUAGGACGAAAGUUUAAAGAUGCUCCUGGCAUCACUGAUGGAUGAGCCUGCGGCGCAUUAGCUAGUUGUGGGGUAAAGGCCUACCAAGGCGACGAUGCGUAGCCGACCUGAGAGGGUGAACGGCCACACUGGGACUGAGACACGGCCCAGACUCCUACGGGAGGCAGCAGUAGGGAAUCUUCGGCAAUGGGCGAAAGCCUGACCGAGCAACGCCGCGUGAAUGAAGAAGGCCUUCGGGUUGUAAAAUUCUGUUAUAAGGGAAGAAAGGUGAUAGGAGGAAAUGACUAUCCAAUUGACGGUACCUUAUGAGAAAGUCACGGCUAACUACGUG